rnacentral:lncRNA from 1 species
ACGAAGUUACCAAACCCGCGUUUUUUCAUUUACGACGAAGUUACCAGACCCGCGUUUUUUCAUUUACGACGAAGUAACCAGGCCCUCGUUUUUCGAUUUACAACGAAAUUACGUCGAAACGUCGGUUUACGACGAAUUUACCAGGCCCGCGUUUACGACGAAGUUACCAGGCCCGUAUUUUUCCAUUUACGACGAAAUUACGUGGAAUAGAUACAUUUACGACGAUUUUACAACGGUUAACCCUAAACACCGAGAAUGAAAUCCCUAAACCCCAAAGUCACAU